GAUGAACGCUGGCGGCGUGCCUAAUACAUGCAAGUCGAGCGAACAGACGAGGAGCUUGCUCCUCUGACGUUAGCGGCGGACGGGUGAGUAACACGUGGAUAACCUACCUAUAAGACUGGGAUAACUUCGGGAAACCGGAGCUAAUACCGGAUAAUAUAUUGAACCGCAUGGUUCAAUAGUGAAAGACGGUUUUGCUGUCACUUAUAGAUGGAUCCGCGCCGCAUUAGCUAGUUGGUAAGGUAAAGGCUUACCAAGGCAACGAUGCGUAGCCGACCUGAGAGGGUGAUCGGCCACCCUGGAACUGAGACACGGUCCAGACUCCUACGGGAGGCAGCAGUAGGGAAUCUUCCGCAAUGGGCGAAAGCCUGACGGAGCAACGCCGCGUGAGUGAUGAAGGUCUUCGGAUCGUAAAACUCUGUUAUUAGGGAAGAACAAAUGUGUAAGUAACUAUGCACGUCUUGACGGUACCUAAUCAGAAAGCCACGGCUAACUACGUG
rnacentral:rRNA from 1 species